GUGAGUAACGCGUGAGAAUCUACCUACAGAUUCGGGACAACAGAAGGAAGCUCCUGCUAAUACCGGAUAUGCCGAGAGGUGAAAGAUUAAUCGUCUGUAGAUGAGCUAGCGUCCGAUUAGCUAGAUGGUGGGGUAAAAGCCUACCAUGGCGACGAUCGGUAGCUGGUCUGAGAGGAUGACCAGUCACACUGGGACUGAGACACGGCCCAGACUCCUACAGGAGGCAGCAGUGGGGAAUUUUCCGCAAUGGGCGAAAGCCUGACGGAGCAAUACCGCGUGAGGGACGAAGGCCUGUGGGUCGUAAACCUCUUUUGUUAGGGAAAGUAUAUAUGACGGUACCUAACGAAUAAGCAUCGGCUACCUCCGUGCCAGCAGCCGCGGUAAGACCGAGGAUGCAAGCGUUAUCCGGAAUUAUUGGGCGUAAAGCGUACGUAGGCUGUUUGAUAAGUCUGUUGUCAAAGCCCGAGGCUCAACCUUGGAUCGGCAAUGGAAACUGUGAGACUAGAGAGAGAUAGGGGCAGGAGGAAUUCCAGGUGUAGCGGUGAAAUGCGUAGAUAUCUGGAAGAACACCAGUGGCGAAAGCGUCCUGCUGGAUCUCAACUGACGCUGAAGUACGAAAGCUAGGGGAGCGAAUGGGAUUAGAUACC
rnacentral:rRNA from 1 species